rnacentral:piRNA from 1 species
UGUUGAAAAGUACUCCUCAUCUCC